ACAGAGCUGAGGUAAAUACUGUAGAGACACUGUACCGUAGAUACCUACCCUACAGAGCUGAGGUAAAUACUGUAGAUACACUGUACCAUGAUACCUACCCUACAGAGCUGAGGUAAAAUACUGUAGAUACACUGUACCGUAGAUAUCUACCCUACAGAGCUGAGGGAAAUACUGUAGAUACACUGUACCGUAGAUAUCUACCCUACAGAGCUGAAGUAAAUACUGUAGAUACAUUGUACCGUAGAUACCUGCCCUACAGAGCUGAGGUAAAUACUGUAGAUACACUGUGCCAUGAUACCUACCCUACAGAGCUGAGGUAAAUACUGUAGAUACACUGUACCAUGAUACCUGCCCUACAGAGCUGAGGUAAAUACUGUAGAGACACUGUACCGUAGAUACCUGCCCUACAGAGCUGAGGUAAAUACUGUAGAGACACUGUACCGUAGAUACCUGCCCUACAGAGCUGAGGUAAAUACUGUAGAGACACUGUACCGUAGAUACCUACCCUACAGAGCUGAGGUAAAUACUGUAGAGACACUGUACCGUAGAUACCUGCCCUACAGAGCUGAGGUAAAUACUGUAGAGACACUGUACCGUAGAUACCUGCCCUACAGAGCUGAGGUAAAUACUGUAGAGACACUGUACCGUAGAUACCUACACUACAGAGCUGAGGGAAAUACUGUAGAUAUACUGUACCAUGAUACCUGCCCUAC